CACUCCUACGGGAGGCAGCAGUGGGGAAUUUUGGACAAUGGGCGAAAGCCUGAUCCAGCAAUGCCGCGUGAGUGAAGAAGGCCUUCGGGUUGUAAAGCUCUUUUGUCAGGGAAGAAACGGUGAAAGCUAAUAUCUUUUGCUAAUGACGGUACCUGAAGAAUAAGCACCGGCUAACUACGUGCCAGCAGCCGCGGUAAUACGUAGGGUGCAAGCGUUAAUCGGAAUUACUGGGCGUAAAGCGUGCGCAGGCGGUUUUGUAAGUCUGAUGUGAAAUCCCCGGGCUCAACCUGGGAAUUGCAUUGGAGACUGCAAGGCUAGAAUCUGGCAGAGGGGGGUAGAAUUCCACGUGUAGCAGUGAAAUGCGUAGAUAUGUGGAGGAACACCGAUGGCGAAGGCAGCCCCCUGGGUCAAGAUUGACGCUCAUGCACGAAAGCGUGGGGAGCAAACAGGAUUAGAAACCCGAGUAGUCCCA
rnacentral:rRNA from 1 species